UUUCGAUUAAUUAUUGUAAGACCCAAUUUGUACCCGGCCCGUACCAGGUAACAAAUAAAUGAAAACUGUCAUAUUACAAAUGGCCUACAAGGCCCAAACCAAAACAACGCAGUGGCCCAAAUUACAAAGGCCCGAAAUAGAGGGGAAACCCUAGGGUUUCUAAGCUUCGGCCGCCGCAACUCCAAAUCUCCCACGAAGGCCGAAUCUCCAUGGAUCUUCACCUGCGCAUCAAGGGAAAACAAAAAUGGAAAGCGAAUCAAAGAUUUGUAAAUCAAAUAAAGAAACGGAUUUGUUUCUUCUUUAGAUUUAUUCCAUUCGGCUAUAAAGUAGCCAUUGUAACACUGUAACAAGGAUCCGAAUUCGAAAUCAAUAAAAACAACCAUUUCCACAAUCGAAAACAGCAAAUACCAAGAGCAAUACGAUCGAUUCAAAGGUUGAUAUUUACCGUUUUUUAAUAUUUUUUAUUAAAUUUUAUACGAAAAAAAGAGAAAUAAAAAGGAAAGAGGUAACCAUUUGAAGGUGCCUAGAUCGCCCUGAAACGGUCGAGGGAGCCACCCCCGAGGAUCGGUUGCCGAAAACCGAAAGGUUUCGUGAUUUUUCGAGGCUUUUUGCUGAUAUUUUUGAAGGAUUUGAACCCAGAUUUGGGUAUAAGGGGGUUUGAAAGGCCGAAUAGGGGAUUUUCCACUUUUUCGGCCGCCCCAUAUGGCGGCGCCGUCAUCGGAGCUCGGCGGCCGGCACAGUGGCCGACGACCGGCCGAUGACUAAACCAGAGGCCGGUGCCCGGAGGUUGAGAGCUUUUUCGGAGGGAUUUUCUGCUUUUCUUAAUGAAGGAAUGAAUUUUUUUUUAUAAUUUUGGCUUAAAUAGCCGAUUGAAAACGGCACCGUUUGAAGGGGGUAUCCGCGCGUCGACCCGACCCGGACCCAGGAUCCGCCUGCUUUUCAUGCGAAGGGCCAAAUUGCGCUUUUGGCCCCUCCGCCUUUUAAUAUAUUUCCAAUUAGGUUUUUUUAUUUUUUAAAUUCGUCCCUUAAUUUCUUUGAAAUUUCAAUUUAACCCUUUUGAACGGUACCGUUUUAGAGGAGAAGGGAAAAUUUCCCUUCCAGCCCCUCUAUGUAAUUUGUGCUUCAAUUUAGUCCUCCAGACUUUAUUUAUUUGCGGAUUUACCCCAGUUUUUUUUACUUGCAAUCCAAUUUAGUCUUUUUUUUAUAUUUUUCUUAAAAUCAAUUAAUUUUGAUAAUGUAAUUGUUAUUUUUUUAUUUUAUGAUUUUCAUGUGUAAUUAUUAUUAUUUUAUACAUAUAUAUGUAUAUUUAUUUUUAUGUACGUAUUUAUACCACUUUUUUAAAAACUAAUGCUUUUCGCAUAUUUAUAUAUAUAUACUUGUUUUAUUUAUUAAUUGAUUUCGAUAUUACUUUAAUUAUUUCAAACCUAUGUAUUUUUAUGUGUACAUGUAUACAUUUUUUUUGUUUAUUUCAAUCAUUUGUUUAUCAAUUUAUGUUUGCAUAUUUUUUUAUUAUUAUCUUGCUCAUUUAUUUGAUAUUUUGCAUGUCAUUAUCUUAUUUAUUUAUUUAUUUAUUCAUAUUAUUUCUAUGAAAUUGUUGUAUUUAUUAUUGAUAUUUGUUUAAGGGGCAUCUAUUCACACAUUCAACAUAACAUUACACUAUAUUUUUACUCAAUUUUAAAAUAAAACUUUUCAAAAUAAGGAUAAUACUCGUAUUUAGGAUUUUUCAAGAAAAUUGAGCCCUAACGUAUUGGGUUCCAAUUUUUUUUGUAAAAUCUAACAAUCGAGGAUUGCUCUUUAAAUCAAACAAAAUAAAACUUAUCAUCUGGAAUUCAAUAUGUUGUGUCCUAAUGUAUUGGAUGUGACAUGUUGAUUUCUCGAGAUAAAGAUUUUUAAAGAAAUAAAGGAAAUAUUGAAUGUUUGAGAUUUUAAGAAAUUGUGCCCUAACGUAUUGGGCCGCGAUUUCUAUAUAAAUUUUAAACAAUCAGAUAUUUUCUUAAAUUUUAUUACGCGAAUUUUUGACUAACUCACUGUGAAGAGAAUAAAAUGUUGUGCCCUAAUGCAUUGGGUGUGAUAUUUUUCUUUUCAAAAUGAGAAGGUCUUAAUAAAUAAUUUAAUUUAAUUAAGGAUCGCAUUUUUUUACUCUCGACUUCAAGACAUUAAUAAAUCAAUUUGGUACCAAUUUUUGGGCGUUUCGAGGGUGCUAAUCCUUCCUCGUACGUAACUGACUCCCGAAUUCGUUUUUCUGAAACUCGUAGACCAAAGCUAGUUUUUAGGUGAUCCAAUCACACCUUAAUAAAAGAUUGGUGGCGACUCCCAAUUUUUAUUUUUUUGAAGUCGACAACUAAUUUUAAUUUUUUUCCAAAAAUAAAAAAGGGUUUCGACAAUUAUAUUACAUUUUAUUGCGUUCAUCUUUAUCAUUAAAGCAUGUGGGGCACUGUCUUUAAAUUUCAAAUUGCACUAGGCAACUUGUGACCGAAGAUGUAGGAAAAUGAAGUAGAUGGAAAAAAACACAUUGGAAACAUGCCGAGUCUAAUAUAAAAGCGAAAGUGAGUGAUUUAUUCCCGGUGGAUUUGUUUUUGUCCAUGCAAAAUAUAGUAAGAAAUGAAUUGAGAUAAAGGCAGAAAAAUUGAAGGAAACUAAAAUCUAAACGUUCAUACAUAACUAAGAACAAUAGUAACAACUAAAAAAAUAAGUUAGAAACUCUUAUCACAUUCUAAAAGUUCAAGCAGAGUUUAAAGGUAUUACAUUUUGGAUAAAGAAAUGAUGUAAUUUAAGCACAAGCAGGGGCUUGAAAGUCUCUGAUGGUUACGUAGACUAUGGAAUGAGCUGCAAUAUGGAUGGGUGUGGAAGCAUUGACAAGCUUUGGCUCCACCGCCGGAAUAUCAAAUGUUUCUGUUGGAACCAUUGGAACGUCAUUCAGCAACACGAUUUGACCUCGUAUAUUUCCAGCUAGCGCAGCCAAAUGAUACUCUUCUCUAUCCUUGGAACCUCUAAAUUCAAAAUUAGGCUUCACAACAUCCGUGGAUCUCAAAUUACGACCCUGAUGUUCGUAAUUUGAAAGGGUGGCAUUGAACGAGCUAUCUUUCGACAAGUUAAUAAAAAUGAUAGAAAUCCCAGGCUACAAGAGAGAAAAUGAUGCUGAUAACAUUUAAUAAAAAUAAAUAAUUUGAAAAACGAAAAGUUCGCUCUAUCAAAGUUGGCUUACCUUUUUCUUCGCACAAUUAGCAUAUACACGCAAAUUCGAAACCAAUCAGGGAAGAACAAAUGCCGCCCAAGUGCCCAUAUUUCACCUUGUAUACGAUAAAAGCCAAUUAGGUAAGCCGCCUACCUAGUGGAUUUGGCACUUGGCUCAGUUGGCCAAGUAGUACAAAGUUCUUUAUUUAAAAUUUGCAAAGUAUAUUUUCCAUCGAAAUUCGGGGUUACUGACAUUGCAAAAUUACUAAAAACUGUUAAUUAAGUAUGUUUGAAUGUUUAUAAACUUUAUUAUUUGAUAUAAGGAUGUUUGAAUUAUUUAUGUUUUUUAAUUGAUGAAAUUCCACCAGCUGAUGAUUAUAUUGUGUAGAUGCAUUUUUUUCACAUUUGCAUCUAUCUUGUUUUUCUCUGAACCACUGAAUUUUUUUUACAAACGAGAGGAGUUAACCCCCUAUUCAAUUAUACCUCUUUCCACACAUUUGAAUAAUAUAGGGACUAGAUUACCCUAUUUUAAUUUGAAAGGGACUGAAUUGCUCGUGUCCUAACAUUUUAUUAACGUAAAUAGUCAAUUUCGUCAUUAAUUGUCCUUUGUUCCACACUCUCCUAUAGUACAUGGACUAAAUUGGUCCUGACUCUGUUGUACAAGGACCUCCUGUGUUAUUUUUCCCUACUAACUAAAAGAAGUAAAAUAGGAAGUACCAUAAAAAGAAAACAAGAAUAAAAGAACAAAACAAGUCGUGGGAAAGUUAUGAACGAAUUGGCUACUCAAAUUAAUUAGGCAUCCAAGGCGCGAGUGGAAAGAGUACUCAAACCCCACAAAAUCAGAAUGACGAGGUUGACGUAGAAUAAUUUCAAUUUUCAAUGAGGAGAGGCUUAUACCUUUUCCACAACGGCCCGAGACAAAAGAGGGCAUUCGUUAUCCUUAAUAAGGUUUCUUUUCGCCACACAUUGAAAACGAAUACUAUUUUCUUCCGAUAGCGUUCAUUUAAUUCUUAAUUUUUGGUAUGUUGUAAUAUUUGGAAAAAAAUAUUUCUAACGUAAAGAAAUGAGUUUCGAUUAAUUAUUGUAACACCCAAUUUGUACCCGGCCCGUACCAGGUAACAAAUAAAUGAAAACUGUCAUAUUACAAAUGGCCUACAAGGCCCAAACCAAAACAACGCAGUGGCCCAAAUUACAAAGGCCCGAAAUAGAGGGGAAACCCUAGGGUUUCUAAGCUUCGGCCGCCGCAACUCCAAAUCUCCCACGAAGGCCGAAUCUCCAUGGAUCUUCACCUGCGCAU
rnacentral:lncRNA from 1 species